ACUGAAUAGAUACCCCGGUAGUCCACGCCCUAAACGAUGUCUACUAGUUGUCGGGUUUUAAUUAACUUGGUAACGCAGCUAAACGCGUGAAAGUAGACCGCCUGGGGAGUACGGUCGCAAGAUUAAAACUCAGAGGAAUUGACGGGGACCCGCACAAGCGGUGGAUGAUGUGGAUUAAUUCGAUGCAACGCGAAAAACCUUACCUACCCUUGACAUGUACGGAAGCCACGAGAGAUCGAGGUGUGCUCGAAAGAGAACCGUAACACAGGUGCUGCAUGGCUGUCGUCAGCUCGUGUCGUGAGAUGUUGGGUUAAGUCCCGCAACGAGCGCAACCCUUGUCAUUAGUUGCUACGAAAGGGCACUCUAAUGAGACUGCCGGUGACAAACCGGAGGAAGGUGAGGAUGACGUCAAGUCCUCAUGGCCCUUAUGGGUAGGGCUUCACACGUCAUACAAUGGUACAUACAGAGGGCCGCCAACCCGCGAGGGGGAGCUAAUCCCAGAAAGUGUAUCGUAGUCCGGAUUGUAGUCUGCAACUCGACUAC
rnacentral:rRNA from 1 species